rnacentral:rRNA from 1 species
UAAAGUGGAUUAGCGGCGGACGGGUGAGUAACACGUGAGUAACCUGCCCUUGACUUUGGGAUAACUUCAGGAAACUGGGGCUAAUACCGGAUAGGAGCUCCUGCUGCAUGGUGGGGGUUGGAAAGUUUCGGCGGUUGGGGAUGGACUCGCGGCUUAUCAGCUUGUUGGUGGGGUAGUGGCUUACCAAGGCUUUGACGGGUAGCCGGCCUGAGAGGGUGACCGGCCACAUUGGGACUGAGAUACGGCCCAG